AGAGUUUGAUCCUGGCUCAGAUUGAACGCUGGCGGCAUGCCUUACACAUGCAAGUCGAACGGUAACAGGUCUUCGGAUGCUGACGAGUGGCGAACGGGUGAGUAAUACAUCGGAACGUGCCCGAUCGUGGGGGAUAACGGAGCGAAAGCUUUGCUAAUACCGCAUACGAUCUACGGAUGAAAGCGGGGGAUCUUCGGACCUCGCGCGGACGGAGCGGCCGAUGGCAGAUUAGGUAGUUGGUGGGAUAAAAGCUUACCAAGCCGACGAUCUGUAGCUGGUCUGAGAGGAUGAUCAGCCACACUGGGACUGAGACACGGCCCAGACUCCUACGGGAGGCAGCAGUGGGGAAUUUUGGACAAUGGGGGCAACCCUGAUCCAGCCAUGCCGCGUGCAGGAUGAAGGCCUUCGGGUUGUAAACUGCUUUUGUACGGAACGAAAAGACUCUGGUUAAUACCUGGGGUCCAUGACGGUACCGUAAGAAUAAGCACCGGCUAACUACGUGCCAGCAGCCGCGGUAAUACGUAGGGUGCAAGCGUUAAUCGGAAUUACUGGGCGUAAAGCGUGCGCAGGCGGUGAUGUAAGACAGAGGUGAAAUCCCCGGGCUCAACCUGGGAACUGCCUUUGUGACUGCAUCGCUGGAGUGCGGCAGAGGGGGAUGGAAUUCCGCGUGUAGCAGUGAAAUGCGUAGAUAUGCGGAGGAACACCGAUGGCGAAGGCAAUCCCCUGGGCCUGCACUGACGCUCAUGCACGAAAGCGUGGGGAGCAAACAGGAUUAGAUAC
rnacentral:rRNA from 1 species